AUCUGUGCCCGAAAGU
rnacentral:tRNA from 1 species